GUUACAGCAGCCGCGGUAAUACGGAGGGUGCGAGCGUUGUUCGGAUUUAUUGGGCGUAAAGUGCGUGUAGGCGGUCUUUUAAGUCUGAUGUGAAAGCCCCGGGCUCAACCUGGGAAGUGCAUUGGAAACUGGGGGACUUGAAUACGGGAGAGGGUAGUGGAAUUCCUGGUGUAGAGGUGAAAUUCGUAGAUAUUCGGAAGAACACCGGUGGCGAAGGCGGCUCACUGGCCCGUUACUGACGCUCAGGCGCGACAGCGUGGGGAUCAAACAGGAUUAGAUACCCCUGUAGUCC
rnacentral:rRNA from 1 species